rnacentral:rRNA from 1 species
UACAGGGGGGGCAAGCGUUGUUCGGAAUUACUGGGCGUAAAGGGUUCGUAGGUGGCCACUUAAGUCAGACGUGAAAUCCCUCAGCUUAACUGGGGAACUGCGUCUGAUACUGAGUGGCUUGAGUGCAGGAGAGGAAUGCGGAAUUCCAGGUGUAGCGGUGAAAUGCGUAGAUAUCAGGAAGAACACCAAUGGCGAAAGCAGCUCUCUGGGACGGUACUGACGCUGAGACGCGAAAGCGUGGGGAGCGAACAGG